AGAGAUGUGUGAUGACGCAUAUCAAUAAGCGGAGGAAAAGAAACUAACAAGGAUUCCCUUAGUAACGGCGAGUGAAGCGGGAAGAGCUCAAAUUUGAAAUCUUCAAGGUUCUACCUUGACGAAUUGUAGUUUAUAGAAGUGUUUUCUGUUAGUGGAGUGGCAAAAGUUCUUUGGAAUAGGACAUCAUAGAGGGUGAGAAUCCCGUAUUUGGUCAUUCCUCCUAGCGUUGUGAUACACUUUCAACGAGUCGGAUUGUUUGGGAAUGCAGUCCAAAAUGGGUGGUAAAUUUCAUCUAAAGCUAAAUAUUGGCGAGAGACCGAUAGCGAACAAGUACCGUGAGGGAAAGAUGAAAAGAACUUUGAAAAGAGAGUUAAACAGUACGUGAAAUUGUCAAAAGGGAAGCGUUUGACACCAGUGUUGUUUUUCCGAAAAUCAAUUAUGAAUGGCUUGAUUUUAAGUUUCAUGACCUUAAAAGCUUGUUUCUUAUUUUUCAUGUCUUUCGUAAUGCACUUUUCGGUUAACAAGUCAACAUCAAUUUCUUUUGUUGUAAAAGGGUAUGAGGAAGGUGGCUUUCUUUUCGGAGAAAGUGUUUAUAGCCUUGUACCUCUGCAAUCGGAGAGAUUGAGGUCUGCAGCGUAGAUCCUUCGGGGUUAGAUACAUUUGUGCUAAGUUAUAGCUUUUCAUAGACAACUUGUUGACUAUGUUAAGUCUUGUAGCUUACUCGCUUAUGCUAUUUUACCUACGCUUAGGAUGUUGAAGAUGUAGCACAUCAU
rnacentral:rRNA from 1 species